ACUCCUACGGGAGGCAGCAGUGGGGAAUUUUCCGCAAUGGGCGAAAGCCUGACGGAGCAACGCCGCGUGAGGGAUGAAGGCCUCUGGGCUGUAAACCUCUUUUUUCAAGGAAGAAGAUCUGACGGUACUUGAAGAAUAAGCCACGGCUAAUUCCGUGCCAGCAGCCGCGGUAAUAC
rnacentral:rRNA from 1 species